UACGUAGGGUGCAAGCGUUGUCCGGAAUUAUUGGGCGUAAAGAGCUCGUAGGCGGUCUGUCGCGUCUGCUGUGAAAACUCAGGGCUUAACCCUGAGCUUGCAGUGGGUACGGGCAGACUAGAGUGCAGUAGGGGAGACUGGAAUUCCUGGUGUAGCGGUGAAAUGCGCAGAUAUCAGGAGGAACACCGGUGGCGAAGGCGGGUCUCUGGGCUGUAACUGACGCUGGAGGAGCGAAAGCCGUGGGGAGCGAACAGG
rnacentral:rRNA from 1 species